rnacentral:rRNA from 1 species
AAUAGAUACCCGGGUAGUCCACGCCGUAAACGUUGGGCGCUAGGUGUGGGGAUCUUUCCACGAUCUCCGUGCCGCAGCUAACGCAUUAAGCGCCCCGCCUGGGGAGUACGGCCGCAAGGCUAAAACUCAAAGGAAUUGACGGGGGCCCGCACAAGCGGCGGAGCAUGUGGCUUAAUUCGACGCAACGCGAAGAACCUUACCAAGGCUUGACAUAUAGGGAAAACUGGCAGAGAUGUCAGGUCCGCAAGGGCCCUAUACAGGUGGUGCAUGGUUGUCGUCAGCUCGUGUCGUGAGAUGUUGGGUUAAGUCCCGCAACGAGCGCAACCCUCGUUCUAUGUUGCCAGCGCGUAAUGGCGGGGACUCAUAGGAGACUGCCGGGGUCAACUCGGAGGAAGGUGGGGAUGACGUCAAAUCAUCAUGCCCCUUAUGUCUUGGGCUGCACACAUGCUACAAUGGCCGGUACAAAGGGCUGCGAUACCGCAAGGUGGAGCGAAUCCCAAAAGCCGGUCUCAGUUCGGAUUGGGUCUGCAACUCCG